UACGGAGGGUGCAAGCGUUAUCCGGAUUCACUGGGUUUAAAGGGUGCGUAGGAGGGCAGGUAAGUCCGUGGUGAAAUCUCUGAGCUUAACUCAGAAACUGCCGUGGAUACUACCGGUCUUGAAUAUCGUGGAGGUGAGCGGAAUAUGUCAUGUAGCGGUGAAAUGCUUAGAUAUGACAUGGAACACCAAUUGCGAAGGCAGCUCACUACCCGAAUAUUGACUCUGAGGCACGAAAGCGUGGGGAUCAAACAGG
rnacentral:rRNA from 1 species